GUAUAUGUUUUAUAGGCACAACAUUCUAUCGACAUACAUUGGGGUAAAUGAAACGACAUAGACCUGAAAAGGUCUACAAAAGGUGCACAGGUGGAGAUAUAAAGAUGACAAGCGUGCACAUGCUCCCUAGAGAACCAGCAACAACUCAUCAGAUUUAUUUCAAUAAUGAUCCUUCCGCAGGUUCACCUACGGAAA
rnacentral:misc_RNA from 1 species